UACGUAGGUGGCAAGCGUUGUUCGGAAUUACUGGGCGUAAAGCGCGCGUAGGCGGCUCUUCAAGUCAGGCGUGAAAGCCCCGAGCUUAACUCGGGAACUGCGCUUGAUACUGUCGAGCUAGAGUGUGGAAGGGGCGAUUGGAAUUCCGUGUGUAGCGGUGAAAUGCGUAGAUAUACGGAGGAACACCAGAGGCGAAGGCGGAUCGCUGGGCCAACACUGACGCUGAUGCGCGAAAGCUAGGGGAGCAAACGGGG
rnacentral:rRNA from 1 species